AAGCAACACUCUGUGGCAGAUAUCCAAAAACUGUCUGACACAAUUUAAGCUUGCUAUAGCAAAAAAGUCUAACCUAUUCCGGUGUUCUCUUCUUCAUGAGAUAAGCCGUUAUAAAGGCUCAAACAAU
ensembl:snoRNA